rnacentral:lncRNA from 10 species
AUACACAAAAUAAAACAGGUUAAAAAUCAUAGCAAAAUUUAAAAAAUGUUUUUUGAGGAAAAAAAAAUCAAGGUGAAGAUUUAGAGAAUUUAAACAAGGAGUAUAAUCAUUCAAAGAGAACUGACGAAGCAUUCAGAAUUUAAGUUGAAGUUUUACCAAAAUCUUCCAAUAGAAACUUCAGCUCUUUUAGAGGGAAAACCUGGAUAUUUUCAAUGUCUAAACUUCAACUUCAAAUCCAAAAACACUAAUGUAAAGCUGGAAAAAGUAGCUGGGUGGGUGGAAAGAGCAAGUUAAGAACAGUGAUAAAUUGUCCAAAAUGGAGAAAAAAAAAUUUUCAAACAUUUUCAAAGGCCAACAGAAAAAGUUUAUGUUUCCCAUUCGUUUAUUGUCUUUAAAAAUGAAUAAUGUGACUUUGUGGGGAGGGAUCCAACCAUGAACUUGUUAGCGUGCUUCUGAUGUUCAAGGUUAAACUUCUUAAUUAAUAAGCCAAGGGAAAUAAAUGAUCCAGAGAUAGUUCAAUGCAGAUGACAUCUGGAUUAAUUUGAAAGUCUUUUCCAAUUAUUUUUCUAAUUAUAUCUGUCUUCAUCUUUUUUUUUUAGAGCAUAAUGUUAAUGGAUAGCCAUCCAAAAACAUGUAUGAGGACAAGCAUUAUAGGAACCCAAGGCAAGCCUACAGGAUGAAUUGUACUGGAGACCUGUGUUUAUUCCAAGUGACUCAAAGCACUAGGCAAUAUCUAAGAACCUCUACAGAAUAAAGACCUACUCAGUUACACAGUAAGCAAACUUUCUCACAAAGCUCAAGAGAUAACCUCCUUGAGCUAAAUGAGAAGACCUUUCUGCAUGUAUCUCAUUAAAAGUAGAUUAACAAAACCUGAAUAGUGAAGACAAGAUGCCAGUGGGCAUUAGGUUGCAGUAAACCUGCCAGGGAGACAGGAUUAAACUAACUACAUUUUGGCAGUGUAAAAGCUGUUUUGAAUCACAAGGAUUUCUUUUAAAAAAUCUUAUUACCAGUGUUAAGUAUGGUACCCUGGCAGCUAAAACAGGUGAACUUGCUCACUAAAAGCAAACAGUUCAUUGUUUUUGCACUGGCAUUGAGAGAUGACUAUCCAUUCCCCUUCCCCAAGUUUGCCUUAAUAGAAAACACAUGCAUUUUGCAAGUCACUGGUAACAAAAGACAACUCAAAUUAUUGUAAAUGCACAAAGGAGGACUUCCCAAUGUAGUGAGGUUGUCAGCAAUUGGAAUCUAAGAAGCUUACCAUUUUGCCUCUAGCUCCCUUCAGCCCAGUCUCUCCUGGACCACCAGGGUCCCCAAUCUCACCCUAAAUACAUUUAUUAAAGUAAAAUAGUUAUUAAAAUCAAACAUAUACAUAUGUAACAUAUUUGCAUCUUUAAACUGAUUCUAACAUGAAGACAUUUUUCGUAUGCAUUUUUAACAGUCAUCUUUGAAGAGUGUGAGUGUGUGUGUUUCCAUUUGUGUAACUCUCUACAUAGCACACUGCGUCAGCAUUGUUUCACUCUGCUGUCUCCCCAGUGAGAACACUGGCUCUUUGGAGAAAUGAACUUUGUUCUUUAUUUUAUCCUCUGACUCUAUCAUAGGACCUGGCAUUUACUGAGUUCAGUAAGGGUUUCUAGAAAAAGUGGUAUCUCCAAGGUAGAAGAUGUCAUUGCUAACUAGUUAUCUAAAGAUGAUUUAUAAACAUAUUGGGAAAACUGAGACAGGUAAAAUCAAAUAACUCUUAUUUUCUUUACAUUACACUUUUCUUUCUACUUUUAUUUUUUUUUGGAGACAGAGUCUCACUGUGUCACCCAAGCUGGAGUGCAGUGGAGAGAUCUCAGCUUACUAUAACCUCCAUCUCCUGGGUUCAAGUGAUCCUCCCACCUUAGGCUCCUGAGUAGCUGGGACUACAGGCAUGCACCACCACGCCUAGCUAAUUUUUGUAUUUUUCGUAGAGAUGGGGUUUUGCCAUGUUGGCCAGGCUGGUCUCGAAUCCCUGACUUCAAGUGAUCCACCUGCCUUGGCCUCCCAAAGUGCUGGGAUUACAGGCAUGAGCCACCACGCCUGGCCUUACAUUAUACUUUUCUUUCAGUAAAUAAGAAAAUAUAUAUGAUAGAGGGAAGGAGUAAAUUUGAGGAAAAAAUUUUAAAAGGAUAAGUUUUCUAUCUUCUCAUACUAAUUAAAAAACUAGAAAUACUUUUUAAGCCUUACACUCCUAAACAAAUGUAUAAUCUUAAAAAUUGAAAAAAUAUUGGUCUAUUUCUUUCUUCCCUCCUUCUCCGCACAAAGGUAGGACAUUUAUUUAUCAUUAACUGUUCUUCUACUGGCCUAGGAUACAUUUCAUAAACCCCAGGAGUAUUUCUGACUGAUCUCUAGUUACUAGGAAGCACACGGUACCUUAGGUCCACUUUCUCCAGGGAAUCCUUCUUGUCCCUGUAAUGGACAGGAGGAAAGAUUUAUACAGGCACACAUCACCCAAUGAAGUCUACAUUGAUUUUCAAUUUACCUGCUGCCCUGUGUAGUUUUGGUACCUCUGAAUUAAGGAAGGGCCAAAACAAUUGAAAUCUGGAAGUGAAAUAGCAGUAUUUGAGAAACAAACUAAAUUAUAAGUUAAAGUAUUUAAGGGUUUCAUCAACAUAUCAUAACUACCUAGGUGGCUAAAAGUAUACAUCUGAAGAGUUACAAUUCGGCUUUCCUUCUUUUGUAUGCAUAUAACCGCAUAGGUGGUCAUUUGG